AGAGUUUGAUGGUGGCUCAGAUUGAACGCUGGCGGCAGGCUUAACACAUGCAAGUCGAACGGUAACAUAAAGAAGCUUGCUUCUUUGAUGACGAGUGGCGGACGGGUGAGUAAUGCUUGGGAAUCUAGCUUAUGGAGGGGGAUAACUACGGGAAACUGUAGCUAAUACCGCGUAAUAUCGAAAGAUUAAAGUGUGGGACCUUCGGGCCACAUGCCAUAGGAUGAGCCCAAGUGGGAUUAGGUAGUUGGUGAGGUAAAGGCUCACCAAGCCGACGAUCUCUAGCUGGUCUGAGAGGAUGACCAGCCACACUGGGACUGAGACACGGCCCAGACUCCUACGGGAGGCAGCAGUGGGGAAUAUUGCGCAAUGGGGGCAACCCUGACGCAGCCAUGCCGCGUGAAUGAAGAAGGCCUUCGGGUUGUAAAGUUCUUUCGGUAGCGAGGAAGGCAUUUAGUUUAAUAGACUAGGUGAU
rnacentral:rRNA from 1 species